rnacentral:rRNA from 1 species
GACGAACGCUGGCGGCAUGCCUAAUACAUGCAAGUCGAACGAGCUGACGGAGUGCUUGCACUCCCGACGCGAGUGGCGGACGGGUGAGUAACACGUGGGAAACCUACCUGUAAGUAGGGGAUAACAUUCGGAAACGGAUGCUAAUACCCUAUAGGUUUCAGUUCCGCAUGGAACUGAAAGGAAAGACGGCUCUGCUGUCGCUUACAGAUGGUCCCGCGGCGCAUUAGCUAGUUGGUGGGAUAAAAGCUCACCAAGGCUGUGAUGCGUAGCCGACCUGAGAGGGUAACCGGCCACACUGGGACUGAGACACGGCCCAGACUCCUACGGGAGGCAGCAGUAGGGAAUCUUCCGCAAUGGACGAAAGUCUGACGGAGCAAUGCCGCGUGAAUGAAGAAGGUCUUCGGAUCGUAAAAUUCUGUUGUUAGAGAAGAACAAGGAGUAACUAACUACUACUCCCUUGACGGUAUCUAACCAGAAAGCCACGGCUAACUACGUGCCAGCCGCCGCCGUAAGAC